GAGGCUGGUUUCUUCCAAUAUGUGUUGCAAAAUGUUGAGGUCAUUCUGUUUUUGCUUUUCUGGGAGUGCUUUUAUCUGUUUGCCUAAGAAGGAGUCCCUCAAAUGUGCUGCUUUGUCUGAUGCCUGUUUCCCACCUUAAUAAACUUUCUCUGCCUUGUUGCUGUAGUCUCUGUGGCAAGAAGAGACCCUUUCUGAUAGGAGUCUUGGUAGGGAACAGAACUUGCCCGCCCCCAACCCAGUCCCAUUGCACAACACCGUGAUGCUUCCUGUGUAACAUGGUCUACCCCCUCUCUAGCAGCACUAGCACGAGGGCAUGCCCUGUGAACCUGAGGCUCUUAGUGCCUGGGCCACACAAGCACACAGGUCAGGCUUUUCCUGCCAAUCAUAAGGGAAGGAGUGACCAAAAUAACAUGUGGGGAAGUUACAAUGGUUUGGGAAACCUCAAAAAAUUCUAAUGGCAGUGAUUUUACAGUCUAUGCUAAAUAUUAAUGAAUUACUUUCUUUUAAUGUUGUAGUCCUUUUCUUUGCUCACAUGGAAAGAGAAAGAGGUGAAACAGCAUGUAGCAUCCAAAAAUAAGAAGAUCUUUUCCAGAGCUGUGCUCCCUGCCCGCAGCCAGGCCCCAACCCACCUCUGCAACCCCUCCUCCUCUCUUCCAAUGGCAGUGGCAGUGGCAGCUCUUUCCUUGCUCCUGACAUCACCACCUUGAGCAUCCCCUGGCUCCACCAAGCUCCAGCUAUGUCCAAUAUGGUGCUGCUUGGCAGCAGCUCACUGGGACUUGCCCAGAAAGUGGUGAAAAGGUGGGGGUUGGAGUUGGGCAAGGUGGUCACUAAGAAGUUCAGCAAUCAGGAGGUUAGCAUAGUGAGUGGUGAAAGAAUGAGAGACCAAGCUGCCUAUGUCAUUGUGAAAAUUAAUGACACCUUGACAUCUCUUGCUAUGACCAAUGUGUGCAAAGCCACAUGGUCCUCUGGCAUGAAGGCAGUACUCUCAUGUUCUCCAUAUGCCCAACAAGAUCAAAAGGACAAGAGUCAUCCUGCAGUUUCUGCAAAACUUGUAGCCAAUGUGUUUUCAGUAGCUGGGUUGGAGCAUGUCAGUACUAUGGAUCUGCACACUGCUCAAAUACAGGGAUUCUUCAGUACUGCUGUGAAUGACUUACAUGUGGAGCCUGCAGUUCUGUGAUGGACCUGAGAGAAUAUUGCAGACUGGAGGAACUGCAGCAUUGUUUCACCCAAAGCAGGAGGAGCCAAAGAGACUCCACCAUUCAUGGACAGACCUAACAUGGCUUGCCUUGCAGGAGAAGUGUUGGGGUGGAUAGGAUGUUUCUGGUUGGUGAUAUUAAAGACUGGGUGGCUGUCCUUGUGGAUGACAUACCCAAUGCAUGUGGCACAACACAUGACUCUGCAGACAAGCUACUGUCUGCUGGAACCACUAAAGUUUAUACCACUUCAGCUCUGAGGCUGUUAUUUUACAAACACCAGUCCCCAACAAGACAACAUGAUUUUGCUCUUACUUGUUUAGCCAUGUUCCUCUAUAGCUCCAUGUAUUGGUCUGUUUUCAUGCUGCUAAUAAAGACAUACCCGACACUGGGUAAUUUACAAAA